rnacentral:rRNA from 1 species
UUUGAUCCUGGCUCAGAGCGAACGCUGGCGGCAGGCUUAACACAUGCAAGUCGAGCGGGUGUAGCAAUACAUCAGCGGCAGACGGGUGAGUAACGCGUGGGAACGUACCUUUUGGUUCGGAACAACACAGGGAAACUUGUGCUAAUACCGGAUAAGCCCUUACGGGGAAAGAUUUAUCGCCGAAAGAUCGGCCCGCGUCUGAUUAGCUAGUUGGUAGGGUAAUGGCCUACCAAGGCGACGAUCAGUAGCUGGUCUGAGAGGAUGAUCAGCCACAUUGGGACUGAGACACGGCCCAAACUCCUACGGGAGGCAGCAGUGGGGAAUAUUGGACAAUGGGGGCAACCCUGAUCCAGCCAUGCCGCGUGAGUGAUGAAGGCCCUAGGGUUGUAAAGCUCUUUUGUGCGGGAAGAUAAUGACGGUACCGCAAGAAUAAGCCCCGGCUAAC